rnacentral:rRNA from 1 species
GACGAACGCUGGCGGCGUGCUUAACACAUGCAAGUCGAACGGAAAGGCCCUGCUUUUGUGGGGUGCUCGAGUGGCGAACGGGUGAGUAACACGUGAGUAACCUGCCCUUGACUUUGGGAUAACUUCAGGAAACUGGGGCUAAUACCGGAUAGGAGCUCCUGCUGCAUGGUGGGGGUUGGAAAGUUUCGGCGGUUGGGGAUGGACUCGCGGCUUAUCAGCUUGUUGGUGGGGUAGUGGCUUACCAAGGCUUUGACGGGUAGCCGGCCUGAGAGGGUGACCGGCAACAUUGGGACUGAGAUACGGCCCAGACUCCUACGGGAGGCAGCAGUGGGGAAUAUUGCACAAUGGGCGGAAGCCUGAUGCAACAACGCCGCGUGCGGGAUGACGGCCUUCGGGUUGUAAACCGCUUUCGCCUGUGACGAAGCGUGAGUGACGGUAAUGGGUAAAGAAGCACCGGCUAACUACGUG